CAUCUGACUCUGUGUUUUCUGUUGUUGCCUUGGCUGUAUCUUAUGUCUGUACCUGUCUCUCUGACUCUGGGCAACUGGAUGGACAAAUGGCAAAAGUAAUAAGCUGGAGCACUGCUACAAAAGGUCACUCCAGAAAUGACAGAGCUUUGGCAGCAUGGGGCUCAAUGGGCAUCUUUGAAGAAAAACUCAGGGCCCAUGCAGAAGCCAGCAGGUGGGCCUGCUUCAUCCCCAUCUCCAACACAGCACCACUGUACAAUUGGAGCUCCAACUCCAGUGCCAUCUUCUUUAGCCACUUUAGCCACCGUGAUGGUUCGUGAGAUUGCCAAGUCACUGCUCUUACAACUUCAGGCUGAUUCAGAAGAUUCCAUUCCACCCCUUCCCAGGGGAAUUACAACACUGCAGAAGGGAAGCCUCUCAUCUUCUGGGCCUGGCAGCCUAAGACUGAUGCUGCCCUCCAAAACAAAGCUAUGGAUACUACAGGAGCCUGGAAUGACUGUCUAGCCGAUUUCCACUUGGCCUGCAGACACUAUCCAGGGAUCAACUGUGGACUGCAAACUGCUGAGCUAUGGACCUUGCUGACAGCGGAUAUGGACCAGUUCAGCCAAUGGGAUGGCUCCCUGUCUCUUCAGCUGGGUCAGCUAACCAGACGCUGCUGACAAACAUCCUAUUGGAUCCUACUGAAUCCCUUCCUAGGCUUUGACUAGCCUUUUAGCCUUCCUGGGCUUAGUCUUAGUUUCAGCUGAAAGUAGUUGCAGGUGGAUACAUCAUCCCUCAUCCCCUUACAGGCUGAAAUGCUUACUCAAAACAAAGCACCCUGGCAUAGGGAACAAAAUAGCUACCUUUAAUACCAACUGGCAUACCAGGAAAAUGGGCCCAGAUUUAUAAACAGGUUGAUUCAUUAACUAAAAUAGUUCUACAAUAUGAUAGGGUAUUUGGCCUGAUUUAUGUAGAACAUGGAGACAUAUAGCUUUAAGAGAAAAUGAUUGUUUCUACAAAAACCAUUUGGGUUGUAAUCUGGCUCCACUCAAAAAACGUUGCAAAAGGGGGACUGAAAUGAAAAAAAAAAUGACUGAUGUCCUGUUCAUUUCCAGGCUUUCUAAAUAGUAACUGAUGUCAGGUAUCACAGGGCCUUUGACCCUUCUGUUUCCUAUCUGGGUACCAUUAAGCUGAUGGCUAUUACAUCCCAAUAUAAAAGGUAUCCAUCAUAGAAUCAAGGAUUUAACUCAGGAUACAACUCAAGCGGGGAAUGUACUAGCCAAAGUUAACCUGUAAGCCCAACUUGCCUAAGGACAAGACAAUUUCCUGGAAAGCUGGGAGUUGUAGUUCUUGGGACAUAGCAAGCCACAUGUUUUCACUCCCCCAAACAAGUUUGUUUGAUUAUCUGCACUGGAUGUGCUUGAUCACAUGUGGGUGGGAGGUUCACUGGCAGGAAAUACAUCAAGAUGUAUCCUUGACCCUGAUUGGACCAGAUGGGAAAUGCAGUGAAUUAUGGGUUUUGCCUUUUUAAGCCCCAUGCAAAACAUGACCCUUAGACAUUCCCUGGGAACCCAGGGGUGGUCCUGGCUGGAAUCCUUCUUCCUGGCCAGUAUUUAAUUAAAGCUUGCUUCAAAUUUGA